rnacentral:rRNA from 1 species
GACGAACGCUGGCGGCGUGCUUAACACAUGCAAGUCGAACGGAAAGGCCCUGCUUUUGUGGGGUGCUCGAGUGGCGAACGGGUGAGUAACACGUGAGUAACCUGCCCUUGACUUUGGGAUAACUUCAGGAAACUGGGGCUAAUACCGGAUAGGAGCUCCUGCUGCAUGGUGGGGGUUGGAAAGUUUCGGCGGUUGGGGAUGGACUCGCGGCUUAUCAGCUUGUUGGUGGGGUAGUGGCUUACCAAGGCUUUGACGGGUAGCCGGCCUGGGAGGGUGACCGGCCACAUUGGGACUGGGAUGCGGCCCAGACUCCUACGGGAGGCAGCAGUGGGGAAUAUUGCACAAUGGGCGGAAGCCUGAUGCAGCAACGCCGCGUGCGGGAUGACGGCCUUCGGGUUGUAAACCGCUUUCGCCUGUGACGAAGCGUGAGUGACGGUAAUGGGUAAAGAAGCACCGGCUAACUACGUG